UCAUGCCGCGUGAAGGAUUAAGGUCCUCUGGAUUGUAAACUUCUUUUAUAUGGGACGAAAAAAGGUCUUUCUAGAUCACUUGACGGUACCAUAUGAAUAAGCACCGGCUAACUCCGUGCCAGCAGCCGCGGUAAUACGGAGGGUGCAAGCGUUAUCCGGAUUCACUGGGUUUAAAGGGUGCGUAGGCGGGCAGGUAAGUCAGUGGUGAAAUCCUGGAGCUCAACUCCAGAACUGCCAUUGAUACUAUCUGUCUUGAAUAUUGUGGAGGUAAGCGGAAUAUGUCAUGUAGCGGUGAAAUGCUUAGAUAUGACAUAGAACACCCAUUGCGAAGGCAGCUUACUACGCAUAUAUUGACGCUGAGGCACGAAAGCGUGGGGAUCAAACAGGAUUAGAUACCCUGGUAGUCCACGCCCUAAACGAUGGAUACUCGACAUACGCGAUACACUGUGUGUGUCUGAGCGAAAGCAUUAAGUAUCCCACCUGGGAAGUACGUUCGCAAGAAUGAAACUCAAAGGAAUUGGCGGGGGUCCGCACAAGCGGUGGAGUAUGUGGUUUAAUUCGAAGAUACGCGAGGAACCUUACCUGGGCUAGAAUGCUGGGAGACCGCUAGUGAAAGCUAGUUUUGUAGCAAUACACUGGCA
rnacentral:rRNA from 1 species